CCCCCGGGGGGAAUUGGCCUUAGUACGGGCGAGUGAAGCGGCAAAAGCUCAAAUUUGAAAUCUGGUACCUUCGGUGCCCGAGUUGUAAUUUGGAGAGGGCAACUUUGGGGCCGUUCCUUGUCUAUGUUCCUUGGAACAGGACGUCAUAGAGGGUGAGAAUCCCGUGUGGCGAGGAGUGCGGUUCUUUGUAAAGUGCCUUCGAAGAGUCGAGUUGUUUGGGAAUGCAGCUCUAAGUGGGUGGUAAAUUCCAUCUAAAGCUAAAUAUUGGCGAGAGACCGAUAGCGAACAAGUACAGUGAUGGAAAGAUGAAAAGAACUUUGAAAAGAGAGUGAAAAAGUACGUGAAAUUGUUGAAAGGGAAGGGCAUUUGAUCAGACAUGGUGUUUUGUGCCCUCUGCUCCUUGUGGGUAGGGGAAUCUCGCAUUUCACUGGGCCAGCAUCAGUUUUGGUGGCAGGAUAAAUCCAUAGGAAUGUAGCUUGCCUCGGUAAGUAUUAUAGCCUGUGGGAAUACUGCCAGCUGGGACUGAGGACUGCGACGUAAGUCAAGGAUGCUGGCAUAAUGGUUAUAUGCCGCCCGUCUUGAACCACGGGACCA
rnacentral:rRNA from 1 species